rnacentral:rRNA from 1 species
CACGUAGGGUGCGAGCGUUGUCCGGAAUUAUUGGGCGUAAAGAGCUCGUAGGCGGUGUGUCGCGUCGGCCGUGAAAACCUGCAGCUUAACUGUGGGCUUGCGGUCGAUACGGGCAUCACUGGAGUUCGGCAGGGGAGAGUGGAAUUCCCGGUGUAGCGGUGAAAUGCGCAGAUAUCGGGAAGAACACCUAUGGCGAAGGCAGCUCUCUGGGACGGUACUGACGCUGAGACGCGAAAGCGUGGGGAGCGAACAGG